AACCGCCCUUCGGGGUGGGAGUACAGCGGCGCACGGGUGAGUAGCGCGUGGGUAAUCUACCUCUGUCUGGGGGAUAACACACUGAAAAGUGUGCUAAUACCGCAUAUCUCGGCGGGGCUGCGGCCUUGUCGAUAAAGGUGGCCUCUUCAUGAAAGCUGCCGGGCGGAGAUGAGCCCGCGUCCCACUAGCUAGUUGGUAGGGUAAAGGCCUACCAAGGCAACGAUGGGUAGCUGGUCUGAGAGGACGGCCAGCCACACUGGAACUGGAACACGGUCCAGACUCCUACGGGAGGCAGCAGUGAGGAAUAUUGCGCAAUGGGGGCAACCCUGACGCAGCAACGCCGCGUGGACGAAGAAGGCCUUCGGGUUGUAAAGUCCUUUUCUGAGGGGCGAUAAUGACGGUACCUCAGGAAUAAGUCCCGGCUAACUACGUGCCAGCAGCCGCGGUAAAACGUAGGGGGCGAGCGUUAUCCGGAAUUACUGGGCGUAAAGCGCACGUAGGUGGCGCUAUAAGUUGGAUGUGAAAGCUCUCGGCUUAACUGAGAGAGGUCAUUCAAAACUGUAGUGCUUGAGGCUGAAAGAGGAGAGUGGAAUUCCCGGUGUAGUGGUGGAAUGCGUAGAUAUCGGGAGGAACACCAGUGGCGAAAGCGGCUCUCUAGUUCACGCCUGACGCUGAGGUGCGAAAGCGUGGGUAGCGAACGGGAUUAGAUACCCCGGUAGUCCACGCCGUAAACGAUGGAUACUAGGUGUAGGGGGUUACUAACUCCCUCUGUGCCGAAGCUAACGCGUUAAGUAUCCCGCC
rnacentral:rRNA from 1 species